UUGGAAUACGCACUAAUUGGACUAUGCUUUUCAAAUUUGAUUUUACAGACAUUGCUGCUCCUCAUCAAACAACUUCCGCCAAAGGCUGGGAGUUACUGAGUAUUAAUAGCAACUUCACAACAGAAUAGUAUUAUCAUACAACCACUAGAAGGGCAGUUUAUGAUCAUAUAGAACAGUUCUGAGCUUCAGGACCACCACUGCGGUAAGCUCCAGUCCGGGACACAGUUUGAUUCAAUUGUGUCGAAUUGGAGCUUGAGGGAAGAGGAGGAAGAGGAGAUAUCAAAGAGCUUGAGGCAUUUUGAGAUAGGGGGUUGCAGGAAGACUUGCUGAGUUGAGAGCUUCUGUUUGGGAAGACAAAGAAAAGAAAGACUGUUGUAUCAGGUAUCAGAGAGAAGAAGCGAAAAUUCAAGCUUGGGUGAAUCUCCAAAAUGCAAAAGUAGAAGCUCAAUCGAAAAAGCGUGAGGUAAUGUAAUGGAAUUCUAUCCUUCUCAUCCUUUCAAUUUUGUGGGUAUCUCAGUCUAUUUGGUAUCUGUUCUUAAUUAGACAAAUGUAACAAAUUCAGCCUGGCAGAAGCUUAAGGAUCCU